UACGGAGGGUGCAAGCGUUGUUCGGAUUUACUGGGCGUAAAGCGCGCGCAGGUGGAUGAACAAGUCGGAAGUGAAAUCUUGAGGCUCAACCUCGAGGCUGCUCCCGAAACUGUUCGUCUAGGGACUGGUAGAGGCUGGUAGAAUUCCCGGUGUAGCGGUGGAAUGCGUAGAGAUUGGAAAGAACACCGAUGGCGAAGGCACUUUACUGGGCUAUUACUAACACUCAGAGACGAAGCUAGGGUAGCAAAUGGG
rnacentral:rRNA from 1 species